AAUGGAAUUCACGGGGAGGAAAGCUGGGUAUAGGCAUUAAGUGCCCAGUAGAGCAGCGGGAGAUACAGAUGACCCACCAAGAAUUACUCAGAACCCUGUGAUCAAUGGGAAUGUGGCCCUGAGUGAUGGACACAACACCGCGGAGGAGGACAUGGAGGAUGACACCAGUUGGCGCUCCGAGGCAACCUUUCAGUUCACUGUGGAGCGCUUCAGCAGACUGAGUGAGUCGGUCCUUAGCCCUCCGUGUUUUGUGCGAAAUCUGCCAUGGAAGAUUAUGGUGAUGCCACGCUUUUAUCCAGACAGACCACACCAAAAAAGCGUAGGAUUCUUUCUCCAGUGCAAUGCUGAAUCUGAUUCCACGUCAUGGUCUUGCCAUGCACAAGCAGUGCUGAAGAUAAUAAAUUACAGAGAUGAUGAAAAGUCGUUCAGUCGUCGUAUUAGUCAUUUGUUCUUCCAUAAAGAAAAUGAUUGGGGAUUUU
rnacentral:lncRNA from 1 species